CCUGCAAAUGCAUUGCAAAAUCCAUGCACAAAGAGCUCAGAUUAGUGCCUUAGGUCAUCAUAAUGCUCUGGUGAGUCACAGAAACUCUGUCCUGUAGGAGCUGAUAAUGGAAGACUUCAUUCUGGUCCCUGGAAGGAGCUCAGCUUUGAUACUGAGGAGCUACAAGCUGGGUUCUAUGCAUAUUUUUGGACCUUUAUGGGAUUCUUGAAUGGCUGAAAUAUAAUCCUGAACCUGUAAACUUGGAUGAUCUUAAACCAAAGUACACCUGAUUUGUUACUCUUGAGAUAUCUGCUACAUAGUUAUAAUAUAAGCCUGAUAUAAACCAAGAUGUCAUAGAUAUUAACUGGGGAGAAGAAAAAGAAGAAGUUGCACGUUGUCCUAGAGAAUAAUGGAAUAUAAUAAACAAAACCUGCUGAAAAAAUUCUAAUGAUUAAAUAUCUAGAAUGAAAGACUGGGAUCCCAUGCCACAGGUUCCAGAUAAUUUUUGGUAACUACUGUAUAUUUUGUUCAGACAUCACAGUUUAACAAAAUUUAAAACCACA
rnacentral:lncRNA from 1 species